UCGCCUCCAUUGGAAUUUGAGUUGCGUUACACGCUUCCAUCUUUGUGUCACGCAGGAUUCCUUGAGCAUACCUCUCUUGUUUUAUUCUGAUUCUGUCUGCUCCUUGAAUCACCUCUAUGCCUAGGUAGUACGUUAGCUUACCUAGAUUGACAUCUCUCAUUCUCCCCCUCAAGCUAAGGACCACACACCUUGUGCCCUUUCCUCUAGCGAAUCAUCUCGGUGCCUUGUCGCAUCUUCGACAUUCGACACCCUUAGUCGCAAGGUUACUUUGAGUUGCUUUGAGGAUGCUCUUCCCACAAUUUCAGGAUCUUCUGACUAAUCUCUGCCGAACUUCCCUUUCCACCUGAAGGGUCCCAUUCCUACUCGAAGGGUAUUUUGGUCGUCUUCCAGAUCUUCUUCAAACCGCUCUGAUACCAAUUGUUGGGAUUGUGAAAUCCCGUGUCCAACUCUAUAUUGUCCGAUUAGUACGAUAUUGUCCACUUUGGGCCUUAACCAAGCCCGCAUGGAUUUACUUUUGGUUUCCUUCCCAAUAGGCCUCGUACUAAUUAGAGUUGGACAUCUCUUUAUAUAUUAGACACUCCUUGUCUAAACUUGCACUGCCUUUGUCAAAUUCACCUCCAUUGGAAUUUGAGUUGCGUUACACGCUUCCAUCUUUGUGUCACGCAGGAUUCCUUGAGCAUACCUCUCUUGUUUUAUUCUGAUUCUGUCUGCUCCUUGAAUCACCUCUAUGCCAAGGUAGUACGUUAGCUUACCUAGAUCAGACAUCUCGAACUUCUUAGACAUCUCCUCCUUGAAUUGCCUAAUCACCUUAAGUGAAGUUCCUGUCACAAAUAGAUCAUCAACGUAGAUGGCAAUGAUCAAGACGUCUCCUCCUUCAGUCUUGCAGUACACUGAUGGUUCCUUCGUGCACUUCUCAAAUCUCAUCUCCUUGAGAAUCUGAUCGAGUUUCACAUUCCAUGCCCUGGGUGUCUGGCGUAACACAUGCAACCCCUUGUGUAGCACACAAACUCGAUCCUCUUCUCUUUUCUUCUCAGAACCAGUCGGUCUAUCUACAAGCUCCAAUAUCUUGUUUCUUGUGAUAGAUUUCAACUCGCCUGUCAUAGCUUCAAUCCAAUUUUCUUCACAAACUAGAUUGAGCUCAUCUGAGGCUAACUCUCCUCCUCUAUCGGUGCAUCCUAGACUGAACAUAGCCGAGGCAACCUCUCCUCCUCUAUUGGUGAAACGUAGGUUGAAUACAGCUGAGGCAAAAUCUCCUCCUCCAUCGGUGUGAAAUCUUUUGAACCGAUAGAAUGCCUCACGAUGAUUUGCUAGCGUUGGUGGUGCGAUCCAUCCACACAAAUCUCCAAGCAAUAAUCCCAAUGGUUUGAUGUGCAAACCAUGGCCUUAGUCGGGAAUGAGUCUAUGAUUUGCUUCUCUGCAAAACAUGUGUCACACACGGCUUCUCCGUGUGUUACACUCGGUAACGAGUGUCUAAUAUGCUUCUUUGCUAGACAUGUGUUACACACGCCUUCUUCGUGUGUUACACUCUGCAUUCCGACGAUCAUCUCCUUCCUUACCAUGUUAUUCAUCACUCCAUAGCUUAUAUGUCCUAGCCUAGCAUGCCACCUCCAUGUAGCAUCUACGUCUCUGACAUGUAAACAUUUCGGGUAGCUUAUCUCCAUAGGGGUCUUGUAGAGACGGUUUGGAGAUCUUGUCACACGAACUAGCAACCUUCCAUGCGAAUCUGUGGGCGUUAAGUAGACAUCUUUCAUGUUAACCUCACAUCCGUUUUCUGUUGCUUGCCCAAGACUCAAUAUAUUGUGCUUCAGAUUGGGUAUGUAGUAUAUGUCCUUGAGUGCCUUCUUCUCUCCAGUCUUGCACACAAAGGUAACCACACCCUUUCCUACAAUGUCAACACACGAUCCAUCACCAAACUUCACCUUCCCUUUGGUGUUGAGAUUCAAACUCGAAAAGAACUCCUUGUUCCCUGUCAUGUGAUUGCUCGCUCCAUUAUCCAAAUACCAGACACUUGCACUGCCUUUGUCGAUAUCAAGAUUCUUCGGAAUCACCUUAUCUUCGUUCAAAAACACCACCUCGUGUACAUAGAGUGCAUCAGCCUCUUCUGUCUCGUUUAGGUUGGUUUCUUGAUUCUUCUCUGUCUUUUCGGGACAGACAGUUGCGUAGUGACCAGGCUUGUCACAUCUCCAACAUAUCAGCUUUGAACGAUUCUUCUUCGAGUUGUUAUCUUCGGUGUGUUACGUACGGUUUUGGUUGUGUGACCUACCUCGACCUCUGCCUCUACCGUUCCGUCCUCUUCCUCUACCACGGGAAUUCUCAUAGCCCCUCUGACUAUGCUCUUCAUUGUUCGAAAACAUCAGUUUCCCUUGGUCUUCUUUCUGAGUUUCUUCUCCUACACGCUCCUCGUAUGCCUUAAGCCUUCCAACUAUGUCUUCAAACCCCGUCGAGUUGAGAUCUAGGACUUGCUCAAGUGAUGCUACGAUCUGGAUAUACUUGUGUCUUGGAAGACCCUUCAAGAACUUCUUGACCAUCUUGGAUUCUUCUAUGUUUUCUCCCAACGAGGUUGCUUUGGAUGAUAGGCCCGAUAUCUUCCCCGCGAAGUCAUCGACCGUAUCCCAUCAUCCAUCUUCAACCUAUCAAACUCCGUCAUCAACGUCUGAAGUCUCGCCUCCCUUACACGUUCAGCUCCUAGGUGUCGCGACUUGAUGGCAUUCCAGAUCUCUUUUGAUGCGGUUUGUUCUCCCACCUGGAGAAUCAAAGUCUCUGGAACAGAUUGAAACAAAAGAGCUAUCGCAACAUCGUUCUUCUUUUGAUCAUCGGAACCGGGUUCGAUUGUGUCCCACACUUCAUGAACACGUAGUAGAACCUUCAUCCUCAUCGACCAAACUGUGUAGUUUGUCGGUGACAACAUCGGACAUUGGAUGGAUGUAGAUCCAAAGUCCUUCGUGCGUGGAGCCCUAGUCACGUCAGCCAUCUUGCCGUCGCGAUCUCUUGUUCACAAGCACCAGGAUCUUAAGCUACAACUUAAGCUUAGAUCGAGUCUCCAACCUGAGGCUCUGAUACCAAUUCAGAUCUCUUAGAAACACAAAGAGUUAUAAGAACAACUUUUCUUAUUAGCUUUAGAAACUACUCAAAACUAAAGCUCUCAAUAUGUUUCUCUCAGAUCAUAUGGAACACCUCUCAAUUAGACGUAUAUUUAUAUGAAAGACAAUUCCCUUUAACAUGUGGGAUAUGGAAAACACAAACCUAACCUAAAUAGAAACUUCCUUUUCCUAUUUCUAAGUUUCCUUAUUGUGUUUAUCUUAACAUAUUAAACAUCUAAUAAUAUGUUAAGUUUCCACAAGCUUGGAAUUAUCCAACAAAAAUAACCAACUUGGAGGUUUAAUUCCAAAAGAGAUCAAAAAUCUUUUUCGUCUAAGGGUUCUUAAUUUAAGCUCUAACAGCUUAGAAGGAUCCUUACCUUCCAACCUAAGCAAGUUGAUAGAGCUACGAGUUCUUGAUCUAACCUCAAACAAGAUCACGGGUCUCGUUCCAAAAAAACUUGGUGAUCUCAAGAACCUAUAUAUUUUAAACUUGGGAAAAAAUCGGUUACAUGGACCAAUUCCACCAUAUCUUUCAAACAUAUCAUCUCUCACCGUUUUAAGCCUAGGCAGAAACUUUCUUAGUGGUCCAGUUCCUUUCGAGUUGGGUCGUCUCCAAAGGCUACAAGUCCUUGAUGCCACCAUAAACAACCUCACUGGAGAAAUCCCUCCAUCUAUUUACAACACCUCGUCACUAGAAUCGUUAGCCCUUGCUUCAAACAGCUUAUGCAGUCAAUUUCCUAGCAACAUUGGAGACAUACUUCCAAAACUCCUGGUUUUCAACAUGUGUUUCAACAAGUUCACCGGAGAGAUUCCAGCUUCUCUAUACAACCUCACUAAAAUUAAGGUGAUCCGUGCUGCAUUCAACCAUUUAGAAGGGACCAUAACAUCAGGAUUAGGCAAUCUCCCAUUCCUAGAAAUGUACAACAUUGGAUUCAAUUUAGUUAAGGGUAGAGAUCAAGAUCUUGAUAGUUUCAUCAAGUCUUUGAGUAAUAGUUCCCAGCUUGACUUCCUGGGAUUUAAUGGAAAUCUCUUGGAGGGUGUUAUUCCGGUAUCUAUAGGCAAUCUUUCCAAGCAUCUUUCUACACUUUUAAUGGGAGGAAACCGCUUCAGCGGAAAAAUUCCGGAGUCCAUCGGCUAUCUAACAGGAUUGCGUCUGCUUAACAUAAGUGACAAUUCACUUACUGGUGAAAUCCCUCAAGAUAUUGGGAAACUGAAAGAUUUGCAAGAGUUAGAACUAGCAAGAAAUCAACUUACUGGAAGAAUCCCAGAUUCUAUUGGUGAUCUUGGUGCAUUAAAUAAGAUCAAUCUAGCGCAGAACAAACUUGAAGGUGUGAUCCCACCAUCAUUUGGAAACUUCAAGAAUAUGUUAUACAUGGAUCUAUCCAACAAUAGGCUAAAUGGAAGCAUACCGAAUGGAGUUCUUAACCAACCUAGCUUGAGCGUCGUCUUGAAUCUAUCUAAAAACCUAUUUUCUGGUCCUAUUCGUAAAGAUAUAAGUAGCCUCGAAAGCCUUGUGAGUCUAGAUCUCUCUAGUAACAACUUCUCAGGCCACAUUCCUUCAUCUAUCAAAGAUUGUCAAAGCUUGGAGAACCUAAAAAUGGUUGGCAAUAAUCUAGACGGACCAAUCCCGGAUGCAUUAGCAGAAGUAAAAGGUCUAGAGUUUCUAGAUCUUUCUUCAAACCAGCAUUCCGGUGUUAUUCCUCCAAAACUUCAAGAUUUACAAGCAAUGAAGUUCUUGAAUAUUUCAUUCAACAAUCUUGAAGGAUGGGUCCCAAGCCGUGGAGCUUUCAAAGAUCGUUCUAAAGUUUAUAUGGAGGGGAAUCCAAAGCUCUGCAUUCACACUUGUCGAAAAACUCGGACGCACAGAAAACUUUUGAAAGUUAGCAUUAUUACAUGUGUGGUUGGUCUGAUUGCAAUAUGUGUGAUAAGUUUCUUGAUUUAGAAAAGAAAGGAAAAUAAUUCUUCCACAUCUACAUCAUCAUCAUCAUCUUCACUCCUCAAGGAACCAUUUAUGAAUGUCUCAUAUGAUGAGCUCAGGCGAGCUACUGAGACUUUCAACCCUAGAAAUCUUCUUGGUGUUGGAAGCUUUGGAUCGGUAUUCAAAGGGGUGAUACGAGGGGUUGAUGUUGCGGUGAAAGUCAUUGAUCUCAAGGCAAACGGAUACUACAAAGGCUUUAUAGCAGAGUGUGAGGCUUUAAGGAAUGUAAGGCACAUGAAUCUUGUGAAACUAAUAACUUCUUGUUCAAGCAUAGACUUCAAAAACAACGAGUUUCUGGCUUUGGUGUAUGAGUUCUUAAGCAAUGUAAGCUUAGAAGAAUGGAUCAAAGGUAAACAUAGAAAAACUGUUGGGACUGUUGGGUUAAGUCUUGAAGAAAGAGUGAAUGUAGCCAUUGACAUUGCCUCUGCAUUGGAUUAUCUGCACAACGAUUGUGAAGUUCAUGUGGUUCAUUGUGAUCUAAAACCUAGCAAUAUUCUUCUAACCGAAGACAUGGUUGCAAAGGUCGGCGAUUUUUUUUUUUUUUUUUGAACGAAUGUUAAAUUUAUUCAUCAAAAAAACUCUUCUUACAUCAAGUGUAUACCUUUAAAUUUGAGAUAAAUCUUCUAAAACCUCCAACCUUAGAAAAAAUUUUAAAUUCUAGUACUAAACCAAAACUGCAAACCACUUUCCCACCCUUUAACUCUUUUGGACCUCAUAAUGCUCAGCUUGUUUCUUAUACUUUUGUCCACCAUUUUUAUAAUAGCUGCAAUAGGAGUAGGCUUCUCUUCAUGUUUGAUCCUAUUUCUCUCCCUCCACAAAGUAUGCACAGCAAUUUGCAAAGCAUAACACAGACAAAACCUCUUCUUCCUUUCCAUUCCCUCAUCCGAUAUGAUCUCAAAAAUGCUCGACCAAACAUUUGUGUAAUCACCAGCCAGAAUCCCCUUAGUUAACUGCUCCCACAGCUGACUAGAGAAGGAACAUUAAAAAAAUAAAUGGUUCCUAGAUUCCAAAUCCCUUUUACAAAGCACACAAGUUGUGUCCGCACCAGGAUCCCACUGAACGAUUCUGUCCAUUGUUGAGAGUCUGUUCCGAGAAGCCAGCCAUGAAACAAACGCAUACUUAGGAGUCGCCUUUGAGAACCAAAUACUCCUAGCCCAACUACACCUCUCCUUUUGCGAACGAAACAACAUCCAAGUAGCAUGUGUUGAGAAUUUUUGUCUAUACCCCGACCCAUCCCUCCACAUAUUUACAUCCUCAUUCUCCACUCGUAGCUUCCUCCGAACAGUCUCCAUUUCUGCCUCAAUUUCCCUAAGAGCGAAAGAACGAUAACUUCUCCUCCUUUUAUCUCUCAUAAUAGCUUCUGCUACUGUGGCUUCACGUUUAAUGCCCAUAUCUACUAUACCUCUUUCCCCCAACAGUGUAAUUAGAACUCCCUUCUCAGACCAAUGAUCAAACCAGAAAGAAGUAUUCCUUCCAUUCCCCAAGUCUUUUUUAUGAAAACUCCUUGCAACUCCUCUCAUUUUGAUCAUCUUUCUCCACAUCCAAGACCUCAUCUGCGUAUCCUCCUUGAUCUCCCAGAAAUUCUUUUGCUCUAAUAGGUUACUCCUUAUCCAUUUCCCCAGAGAGAUGAUCCCGUGAGUAGCCUCCAAAUGAUUUUUAAAACAUUUACUCUAUUCACCACCUUAAGAUCUCUUAUGCCCAGACCUCCCUCCUCUUUUUCCCAACAAACCGUUGACCAAGCCACUUUAGCACCGGUAGACUUCAGUUCUGGACCCGACCACAAAAAUGCUCCACAGAUUCAAUAUCCCGAAUACAUUUACUAGGAAGUAGGUAGGCUGAAGCCCAAAAAUUUACCAAACUCAUUAUCACAGCUUUGAUCAACUACAAGCGCCCGGCAUAAGAGAGAAACCUACUCGUCCAUGUGCUAAUCCGACAUCUAAUCUUCUCCACCAAAGGAAAGUAAUCUUGCUGUCUCAUAGCUUUGGUCGUCAAAGGCAGUCCCAGAUAACGGAUUGGAACUCACCCUUCGCAAAAGGAAAAUUUGAUAAUAUUCUACUCUCUUCCCCUUCAGAGACCCCAUAAAGAUACAACGUAGACUUCUCAAUGCUAAUCUUCAAACCCGACCACUCAGAAAACUGAUCAAAGACAGAUAAGGCUCCCUGGACUGACUCCUUUGAUCCUUCCACGAAUAUCAUCAGAUCAUCCGCAAAACACAAGUGAGUAAGAGCUAGGGACUUACAGCGAGGAUGAUACUUGAAAGCUCUUACCGCUGCGGCACUUUCAAUCUUUUUGGAGAGCACAUUCAUACAUAAAACAAAUAGGUAUGGAGAAAGAGAACACCCUUGGCGCAACCCUCUUGAGCUUUGAAAGUAUCCAGCCAAAUCCCCAUUAACUUGUACUAAAAAAGAAGCCGUGGAUAUACAGAGCUUGAUCAGACCAAUGAACUUCUCCGGGAUUCCCAAAGCUUCUAAGCUCUUUAAAACAAAGUCUCAUUGUACUGAGUCAAAGGCCUUGGAAAUAUCAAUCUUCAUAACUCCCCUCGGCGAACCUAAACCCUUAUGAUAGUCCUUCACUAACUCAGAAGCCAAGAGAACAUUCUCCAUUAAUAGACGCCCCUCAAUGAAAGCAGACUGGUUCUCAGAUAUUAUCUUGGGAAGAAUUCUCUUCAAUCUAUUAGCCAGUAUCUUUGAAACCACCUUGUACAAGACGUUACAACAAGAUAUUGGCCUAAAAUCCUUCAUCUCCAACGAGUCUUCUUUCUUCGGAACCAGAGCAAGAAUUGUAGAAUUCACACCUUUCGGGAGAAAGCUGAACUUGAACACUGACUGAAAAGCUACAAUGAAAUCAUGACCAACCACUGGCCAAGCAGUACGGAAGAAUUCACUUGGGAAUCCAUCAGGUCCUGGUGAUUUAUGAGAAGGCAUAGAGAAAAUAACCUUGCGAAUCUCCUCACCAGUUACCUCCGCAUCCAAGUAUCUACCAUCCUCUUCAGAACAUCUAUACUGCAACAGCUCUUUUAGUUCAUCUACAGACACACCCUUAUAAUCAUCAGGACACUGGUUCAGAAACUCAGAGAAAUGUCUUUCAGCCUCCCCUUUUAUUUCCUCGUGAGUUACAACCCUCCUACCAUCAGAACAGCGAAUUUCUCUCAUAGCAUUUUGUGCUCUUCUAGCUCGGAUAGAGUUAUGAAAAGUUUUGUUGUUGAGAUCCCCCACUUCCAACCAAUGCAACUUGGCUUUUUGUUUAAGAUGAUCUUCUUCUAACCCAGCUACAAACAACCAUUUCUCAUAAGCUUCUGCCUCCUCUUGAACACUUACAUCCGUAGCCAAAACUAAAGUAUUCUUCUGCUUUUCACAAAGAACUUCAUAGGCUUCCUGAGCUCGCUUUGUAAGAUUACCUAGAUUCUCUCUUCCCAGCGUACGAAUAAGAGGUUUCAGGUUCUUUAACUUUUUUGAGAAUCUGAACAUAGCAGAAGUAGAAUGGAAAAGAACCUCAGUCGACUCCUAGUAUUCCUGAACCAUAGGUAGGAAACCUGAUAAACUCCCAAUUGCGUUCACUUAAACGGCUUCUUUAUCUUUUCCAUUGGUGGCUUCAACUGGAUUUUGCACCGCAGGUGAUCAGAGCAACCCCCUGGCUCAAACGUUGCAAAUCCAUUCUGAAACCUAUUCAGAGCAUCACCAUUCAUCAGAACCCUGUCAAGCUUCUUGCAAAUCACUCCCUCCUCUCUUUUAUUGCACCAUGUAUAAAGUGGCCCUUGAUAACCCAUGUCUGAUAGAUCACACAGCAAGACCAUCCGGUGGAAAUCUCUCAUCCCGCUUGGACGCCUACCAAGAUUUGAAAAACCCGAGCUUUCCUCACCCUCCAAAAUAUCAUUAAAAUCUCCCAUCAACAUCCACUCUUUACCUCGAAACAUCGGAGAAGAAUGAUGAUCAUGAAGAUCCUCCCAUAACACCUUCCUCUCUUCAACCGCAUUACUAGCAUAUAUGAAAGUGCAGAAAAAAACAUCUUCAUUCUGCAAACCCACAGAGCAAGUAAUAAACUGAUCUGACUUGUAAACCGGAGUCAUCCUCACCGAGUCUCUCCAGAGUAGCCAAAUCCUCCCCCCCUGACUGUAUUCGUAAUUUACCAUCACUGACCAAUCACUAAAAACCGAACUUAGUAUCUUCCCUGCUCUCCCUUCCUUCACCCUUGUUUCUAGCACACACCCAAACAACAUAUCACUUCCACGGAUCCAUUCUUUUACAACGGAAUGCUUCAACAACUUAUUAAAUCCGCGCACAUUCCAAAAGAACCCAGCCAUACUUAGUUUUGAUGACGAGAAGACCUUUUAGUCCCUGGAUUUUCAUCCCGAGCUUUAGCCUUCUGCCCUUUUUUCCUUCCCCGUUGACCCAUUACUUUAUUUUUUCCUCUACUUUUUUCUAACAAACCAUCCUCAAUCUUAUCUUCCUCCAAGAUUUCCUCUAUCACAUCCACAUUACCUUACUCCUCAAUAAUUUCUUUCCCUUCCUCUACUGUUUCUCCAUCCUCUUCUUCAUUAGUGCUCAAAAUACUAUACUUUGACGAGGAUAUAUGUAUCUCACUCCCUAUUUGCUUCGGGGUACUUGGUUGUGAACGACCAAUUCUCCCCUGUGGCACUUUAGCCCAGUCAUCCCCAGUAUCAUCGCUUAUCUCCUCCUUGUUUCUCUCUGGCUGAACUUCUCCUCUUAAAGGUGAUGCUUCCCCAGAAUCCCCAACACUAACUCCAGCACUGACUCCAGCACUUUCCUCCUUAUGUUCUUCCCCAUCCUUUCUGACAUUAUCAUCCUUUAGAUCAGGAGCAGUUUCCUUUUCUUUUCCCUUUUUACCCAUAGCACACACCUUCUCUGAGUGUCCCCAUUUGUCACAAUGUUUACACUUAGAGAGAAGCCAUGGAUAAUCAAACUCCACUGUAAACUCCUCACCUCUACUUGUAAAACUCAUCUCCUUUGGCAAAACUUUUGUAACAUCCACUUUUACAAAAAUCUUCGCCACUUCAAAGCUAGUACAGGCAAGUGUCUCCGGAUGAAGCUUAACUGGGAAACCCACUGGACUCGCCAGGAGACUCAGGCCCUCCCAAGAGAACAAAUGCAAUGGAACCUUUGUAAGAUUGAUCCACGUGGGUAUCGUAUCCUCCUCUUGCUUCUCUUCUUCAGAACGUGGUGUCCAUUUACUGACAAUCAUCGGAAUCCCCACAAUGUUCCACAUCCCACGCCUGAUAAUCUUCUCCCUUGCUUUAGGAUUCGAAACCUUGAACCUCAUCAUCGUUUCAUUAACUUCAUAGACCUUUGCUGCUAGAUCCCCAUAUUUCCAGAUCUUAUUGAGAACCAUAUGGACUUUUGCUACGUGAGGAGCUUGAUCCAAAAACUUCCCAACUAAAAAAUCAUCCCAAAUCGGAGUCGAUUUAGUGAUUACCUCUUCCGGAAUCUCCACAGUUUGUUUCCCCCCUUUUUCCAAGAUCUCAACAUCGUAUUUCUUCAGAGAUUUCUUAUCCUGCGCCACAACAGCCCAACUUUGAUCCAUUUUCUUCUCCCCCAACACCUUAUCCUCAUUCCAAGACUUCCCCCCCCCCCCCCGAUUCCCCUCCCGGAGAACCCGGUAAAUCCGGCGGAUCCGCCGUCGCCAUCGAACCAACGAAACCGUCGUCAAUAUCGCACUCAGAAUCGCCCUUUCUCUCUCUAAGGUCGGCGAUUUUGGGUUGGCUCGUGUGCUGUUUGACGCAUCCGAUGAUCGUCAUCACGCUUCUAUAAGCUCCACACAUGUCUUGAAAGGCUCCAUUGGUUAUAUUCCUCCAGAGUAUGGGAUUGGAGAAAAGCCAUCACAAGCAGGAGAUGUGUAUGGCUUUGGAGUGAUGUUGUUAGAGCUCUCGAGUGGAAAAAGCCCAAUGGACGAGUUCUUCGAAGGAGAUCAAAACCUAAUAUCUUGGAUAAGUUAUGGGUUUCAAGGUAAUGCAAUUAUGGAAGUGAUUGAUCCUAAACUUAAGAGACUCAUCGAUGUUUCUGGGGCACAACUUCAUGCAAAACUUGACUGCCUUAAGAAGACUAUUGAAGUUGGCUUGGCUUGUACUGCGUAUGCAGCUGGAGAACGGAUGAACAUGAGAGACGUGCUACGUUUAUUGAAAGAGGCCAAGGGCAUGCUUAUCAAGGGAAACUAAUUGAUUAUAUUUUUCUAUUAGUUAUUUUAAGUGAAUAUAUAAGUUUUCUUUUGUCGGGAAUAUAUGUUUAUCUUAUCUCUGUAGUUACAAGUUUUGUUUCAUAAGGUUUGUAAUUUUGUAGUAAAAACUUGUUGCUUGUAAUUUUCUGAAAAUAAAGAUAUUGAAUAGCAGUAGUACUAGGA